AGCGAACGCUGGCGGCAGGCUUAACACAUGCAAGUCGAGCGGGCGUAGCAAUACGUCAGCGGCAGACGGGUGAGUAACGCGUGGGAACGUACCUUUUGGUUCGGAACAACACAGGGAAACUUGUGCUAAUACCGGAUAAGCCCUUACGGGGAAAGAUUUAUCGCCGAAAGAUCGGCCCGCGUCUGAUUAGCUAGUUGGUGAGGUAACGGCUCACCAAGGCGACGAUCAGUAGCUGGUCUGAGAGGAUGAUCAGCCACAUUGGGACUGAGACACGGCCCAAACUCCUACGGGAGGCAGCAGUGUGGAAUAUUGGACAAUGGGGGCAACCCUGAUCCAGCCAUGCCGCGUGAGUGAUGAAGGCCCUAGGGUUGUAAAGCUCUUUUGUGCGGGAAGAUAAUGACGGUACCGCAAGAAUAAGCCCCGGCUAACUUCGUG
rnacentral:rRNA from 1 species